UCAGUGGAUCAUAGCAUGGAAAGACAUGCAAUUAAUUUGAAAAUUAGCAUUUUUAUUCACAGCAGCCACUGAUGUUGUUUGCCAGGCUGCAGCCUUGGGCUGCAAGUGUUUCCAUUUUGAUCUGCCCUUUCCUGAAAUGAAGUUAUUGAAAUUUGUUCUGAGCAUAUAAAAAGCAGAUGGAACCAGACUGUAAAUAUCUGUAGCCAACAAGAACAACUCAACAGAGCCCUGAAGUUGGAUGUUCCAUCUUGGGAAUUGGUUUGUUGCUGGGAUGGAUUUUUGCCAGCAUCUCUGUUGUUGUGGGGGUAUUGUGGAUGCAAGAACUCCCUCACUUGCUGGAUUGAACCUUUUUAUCAGUAUCAGUUCCAGAUGUUAACAGCUGUUAGCCCUGUGCAACGGCAUGGAUGGCUUGUAAACAAUAAUUCCCCUAAAAAUCCAAUGCUGAACAACAUUUUGACAACAAUUUGAAAGGCUCUGGGCUUGUGGCAUGUGCACCACAUCAAGAAAUGAAUUGUAAACCUGCUGCCUGUAAAUUCAGGUGAGGAUUUGCUCUGAGGACAGGUUUGAGUUGUGUUGUUUGAUCUUUUCUAUGUCAGAACCCCCAGAUCAGAAAUGAUUUAUGGAGUGCAAAUAUCGCCUUGCCGAUGUGACACCAUUUCCCAGGGUCCUGAGUAUCACACCGACGAUCUGCCAAUCUCCCAGGGCUGCUUUUUGUAUCCUUAAUUAACAGGAGAUUAACAGGAGAUGGACCCUCCUAAUUGUUCUUGUGGAACAGAGAAGAUGGCACCGAGUGGCUCUUUGGGUGCAAGAAAGGUAAAUGUGUGCUCUGAGAAGAAACUGAAUAUUUAAGAAGUGGAUAUUACUUUUAAUUUUCUCAUUCCUUAUCUCUCCCUCAUUUUUUUUCUCUGUUGUCUGUGUUUGGCUCUGCUUUUGUGCUGAGAAAGGGGAAGGAGCUGCCAGAAUUCCUGAUCUGAUGCUUCAAAACACCUGGACUUUCUCUUCCCAUAAAUCCAAAUUUCUUGAGUUUAGCAGACCCUGCUGGGGAAGUUUUAUUAGAAGAAGCUUUGUUUUAUGGGAGGAGAAGGAGCUGCUGCUCCUACCUGGCUGUGCUCUGGUGCUGGGCAAGGGGCAUGGAACCAGAUAACACAGGGAAUUUUGGGGAAGAUCCAGGAGCAGCUUUGGUGGAGCUCAGGGCUGUGUGUGAGCCUGUGCCCACCACUGAGUGCAGAAUGGGAUGAGCAGGGAGCAAAAUUAAUGAGGUUUGUGUUUGUGUGGGUGUUCCUUAGCUAAAGGUGAGCAGGCUGAGGGAGGAAAAGCAAACCCACAGAAUUUGGAGCUUUGGGGUCUUUUUAGAAGCAGAUUGUCUUCAAACAGCACCGAAGUUAGACGUGGAAAUCGCUCACACCAUUCACUGGGCACCUGGUAUCCCUUAUCCCAUGGGAAAAGUGGGAUAGCACUCACCUUCCUGGGGUUUAUUCCCCAUCCCAGGCAGCUCCACACCAGCCUCACCAGCUGCAGUGUUAAAUUUCCAUCCCCUCUAUGAUUUGCUGGUUUUUUAAUACUCUUCAAACCCAUCUGCAUUUUCCCUUUUGUGCUGUUCCUGGAUUUCCUUACACAAAGCCCUGGCUCGGGGGUGCAGCAGCCGGGAGGGAGGGAAAAGGAAGGACUGGAAACACCCACACAAAACCUGAUGGGAUCCAGCUCUUCCUCCCAGCAGGUUUGCUCCUUCAUCACCCAGAAACCUCCCCAAAAGCUGCUGCUUCCCACUGCCCACGCUGGGGAUGGAAAUGGGCUAAUCCAGGCCAAUUUAAACAUUGUCCCUUUUCCUCUGCAGCAUCGUGGCCCCAGGCGUGGCCUCAGCAGGAAUUUGCCUCUUUCCCAUCCCCGUGGGCUGCUCCAAGUGGGACAGGACCCCUUGGCCUGUGUCACCACCUCAGGUGAGACCCCAGCAGCUGAAGCCACGGGGGAAGGUGGCUUAAGCCACUGGAAAUGGCCCCAAAUCCUCCUCAUGCUCCCAAAAGCUGCUGGAGGGUGUCCAUGUGUAACCCAUCCCUGUUUGCUGGGAUUGUCACCCUUGGAAACCACCAGGUUUGGUGGGAUGAGAUGGAAUGUGCAGGUUUUCACCCCAAAACCUGUGACUGACCCUCCAAAUGCUGCUUCUUCAGCAUUCAACCUCCAAAGGCUGCUUCUUCCUCUUUGGGUUUUGAGCUUUUCCCAGCCUUUUCCACUGCUCUGGAGCUGAAAUCUUCCCUCCAGUGCCAGCUGAGCUGGUUGGAGCAGGCCAGGAGCAGAGGCUCCAAGGAAAACCAUAAUAUUUUGGGAGCAGUGGUGAGGCAGGGAGAGUCGGAAGGAGCCUUUUGAAAAAAAUUCGAAGGUUUUUUUUUUUGCCAGGGCCUCAGCAGAGCCCAGGAGUUAAUCAUUCAAAUAUGCUUAUGUGUAACUAAUCUCUGCAGGACAAUGAGCUGAGGAAUUAUUUAAUGCAAUUGAAAUGGAGCAGAGUGGUUGCUAUAAAAAGGGUGUCCCGAGCCAAUGGGAGCCAGCAGGAUCCUAUAAAAGCGGGUGGGGAAGAAAAAGCAGCUGGUGGGAAGAGAUCACCAAAGUCCCCAUGCGUGUCCUGAGCUGCCUCUGCUUGGGCAGAGAUCCUCCUGAGCUGCUGGAAAUCAGGCUGAGCCCUUCUCCAAGCACUGCUGAUCCCUGUGGGGUCAGUGCAUGCCGUGGCAAGGGCGGCAUCUGCCCGGAAUUGCCUGGUGGAGCCUAAAACGAUGAAAUCCAGCAGAGCUACCUUAAUUUAUUUUGGAUUAGGAUUCCCAUGGCACGUGAACUAGAGGAUAAUUUGGAGUAGGAGGUCUCUUUAUUGAGGUGACUCUCUCCCAAGAUGGUUGGGAAGCUGAAGCAGAACCUGCUGCUGGCCUGCCUGGUGAUCAGCUCGGUGACCGUGUUCUACCUGGGCCAGCACGCCAUGGAGUGCCACCACCGCAUGGAGGAGCGCAGCCAGCCCCUGAGGGGGGGGGACAGUGCCAGGGGCACGCUGAGGACAGCCCCCAGUGCCAGUGCCAACAGAAGCCUGCCCUACAGCAAGGACAUGCCCCUGAUCUUCAUCGGCGGCGUCCCCCGCAGCGGCACCACGCUGAUGCGCGCCAUGCUGGACGCGCACCCCGACAUCCGCUGCGGGGAGGAGACCAGGGUGAUCCCCAGGAUCCUGGCGGUCAAGCAGAUGUGGGCCAGGUCCAGCAAGGAAAAAAUCCGCCUGGAUGAGGCUGGAGUCACGGAUGAGGUGCUGGAUUCAGCCAUGCAGGCGUUUUUGUUGGAGAUCAUCGUGAAACACGGCGAGCCCGCUCCGUACUUGUGUAACAAAGAUCCUUUUGCUUUAAAAUCCUUAACUUAUCUUGCCAGAAUUUUCCCUAAUGCCAAAUUCCUCCUGAUGGUCCGAGAUGGCCGCGCAUCUGUGCAUUCCAUGAUCUCCAGGAAAGUCACAAUAGCUGGCUUUGACCUGAACAGCUACAGGGACUGCCUGACCAAGUGGAACCGUGCCAUAGAAACCAUGUACAACCAGUGCAUGGAGGUGGGCUUUGAGAGGUGCAUGCUGGUGCACUAUGAACAGCUGGUGCUGCAUCCUGAGAGGUGGAUGAGGACUCUCCUCAAGUUCCUGCACAUCCCAUGGAACCAGGCAGUGCUGCACCAUGAGGAGAUGAUUGGAAAAGCAGGGGGGGUUUCUCUUUCCAAGGUUGAAAGAUCCACUGACCAAGUCAUCAAGCCAGUGAAUGUGGAAGCACUGUCCAAAUGGGUUGGGAAGAUCCCUGCUGAUGUCCUGCAGGACAUGCCAGUGAUUGCCCCCAUGCUGGCCAAACUGGGCUAUGAUCCCUAUGCCAACCCACCCAAUUAUGGGAAACCAGAUCAAAAAGUGGUGGAAAACACAAGGAGGGUCUAUAAAGGUGAAUUUCAGCUUCCUGACUUCCUUAAAGAAGUGCCACAGCCAAAGAAGACAGUAGAAAGGAAGUCUCGUGGCAAGAUAAAAUGAACAUGGAUCAGUGAAGUGGAAUAGCUGUAGUACUGAACCUAUGGAAUAGAAGAUAAAAUGGACAUUUCUUGCACAGAAGAAGAUGAACUGCUGCCUUUUCCAUGGGAAUGAUCCCUCAGGCCUGUCCCCCUGGGAUCAGAGGUGUGCUGCUCAUGGCCUGCUCUCUUCAGAAUGCUCUCUCCUGUUCCUUUCAUCCUGUUUUUGUUCCAAAUUUUGCUGUUGUGAGCGCAUGUAAAUCUGUUAAAAAACAAACAAAAAAAAAUCACCGUUGUUAAUGUAGAACUGCAUUACAUUCGCACAACUAUUUUUUUUAAGGUUUUAAAAAAUGCAAAAGCAAUGCCUGUCUCUGAAAUUGCUCCUCUGUUUUAAUUACAGAGCUCCAUCUUCACAGAUUUUUUUUGUUUCUUGUAGCAGUUUGGUUUUAAAUGUACGAAGCUUUCACAAGUGGUCUGUGCUUGUCCUAAAAGAUUUUUGGUGGAACAGUUGUUUGUUUCAUUCAUAUGUGGAAAAUGUUAAAUAUCUUUUAUUUAAAAAAAGAAAAAAAAGUUGAUAAAUUACAUGUACAAUUACAAUUCAAUGAUCUUUUGUAUUUUAUUUUUCAAAAUAAAUGCUUUAAAUGUGA